CUGGGCGUAAAGCGUGCGCAGGCGGCUUUGUAAGACAGGUGUGAAAUCCCCGGGCUUAACCUGGGAACUGCGCUUGUGACUGCAAGGCUUGAGUGUGGCAGAGGGGGGUGGAAUUCCACGUGUAGCAGUGAAAUGCGUAGAGAUGCGGAGGAACACCGAUGGCGAAGGCAGCCCCCUGGGUCAACACUGACGCUCAUGCACGAAAGCGUGGGUAGCAAACAGGAUUAGAUACCCUGGUAGUCCACGCCCUAAACGAUGCCAACUAGGUGUUGGGGAAGGAGACUUCCUUAGUACCGUAGCUAACGCGUGAAGUUGGCCGCCUGGGGAGUACGGUCGCAAGAUUAAAACUCAAAGGAAUUGACGGGGACCCGCACAAGCGGUGGAUGAUGUGGAUUAAUUCGAUGCAACGCGAAAAACCUUACCUACCCUUGACAUGCCAGGAAUCCUGCUGAGAGGUGGGAGUGCCCGAAAGGGAGCCUGGACACAGGUGCUGCAUGGCUGUCGUCAGCUCGUGUCGUGAGAUGUUGGGUUAAGUCCCGCAACGAGCGCAACCCUUGUCAAUAGUUGCCAUCAUUCAGUUGGGCACUCUAUUGAGACUGCCGG
rnacentral:rRNA from 1 species